GCUCCAGGACGCCAGCUCUUUUAUAGCCGCCUUGGCCGGGUCCAGCCCCUUGGCAGUGGGGGGCUGGGGAGUCGGGCCCCGCCCUCUCCACCUCCUCCCCCGCGGCCCGGGGCCGACCGGCUUAGCCGCAGUGAGAGGGGCGGGGCAGGGGGAGCAAGGAGUGAAGGGGAAUCGUCGCAGCGACUGAGGAGUCUCCCGAGGUCAGGGCAAGAGUUCUAGCUUUUCCCUUCGUGAGGGGUUCUUGCCCUAGGGACCAGCUGCAACUCCAGAACCCAGGACCAUUGUGGAGGAAGGUCUCCAGCUCAAUUAGAGGGGAGCCCACAUAUUGCCUAUGGGUAUGACAACCAUUUUCCCACAACUAGAAUAUCCAUCUUUCUUCUUCUCUUUUUCAUCUCCUCAGUCUCAACUUUUCACAGCCCAACCCCCACAACAGACAAACUGACACCUCCACAGGCAUCCCUUCUCACUCCCAAGGAAGUGGUGGGAUGCUUUCUUACUAUCAAGUCCCUCAUCCCUGUGAGCCCUAGUGGGGAAUCAGGCAGAAAAAGGGGUUCCUUGGGUUUGGGGACUCUGCAGCUGCUUUGUUAUGGGGCUCUUUCUUGGCUUUGCUUCAUGUCAGAUGCAUUGGGAGUGGGGGUGGCACUGCGGCUGGCAUUUCAUCAGUGACAGAGCCUGCUUCUUGUUGGGGACAUAGGGGUUAAUCUCUGCCUUUGCCUUUACCUUGGAGAGGGGAGGGGUGCAAGCUGUCUCUUGCCCUGUGCUAUUUGGAUAAGAACCGAUGACGGGGGUGGGUGAGUGGUCUAGAAAGUCACAGUGAGCCAGAGACCCACUCCUGGAUGUUUCACUAGGGAUCUAUUUUCUGGGAAGUUCUCCAUGCAAACCUGGCCUGUACUCCUUUUCCAUUGGGCGCUGAAAAGACCCCCAGGGAUACCCUGACAUCCUCUGGAAAUCAGAAUAGACUCCCCUCCCAGAUCUGAAUCUCCCCAAGGCAGUUAUUUCAACCCCCACUGCACCCCUAGCUUAUCCUCUUUUUCCUUCUCUUAGGAUCCCCAGGACAGAGACCGACAGACCCUCCAGAAAAAGAUCCCUGCCAAUCCCUUUCUCUUUGCCCUCUCUCAUGCCCAGACAACUGGUGUUAGGCAGACCCUCAGAGCUGGGGAAGUGAUGGUGCUGUUCCUUUAACCAUGUUUUACUGGAAGGAGAGUGCGCUGGGGAGCAGGGAAGAGGGGGAAGGGAGUUUCUGGCUUUGCAUGGAGAAGCAGAACAUGAUGAAGCAUUUUUCCCCCACUUAAAGGUCCAGUCAUGCUUUGGUUUGCAGGGGGCAGAGGGGCUGGUUUUGCAGGUGAUGCUGGGAGAAUGAGGACUUGACUUUAUUUUCCCUCUUUGACUCCUCCCAUUACAAGAUAUGACUACUAGUACCGCUUCCUGGAUUGGGAAAUGAAGACUGAGAGAUUGAGUAACUUGUCCCAGGUCACACAGCUAGCAAACAAAGCAGCUGGGAUUUGAACCUAGUUCUGAUGGGCUCCACAGCAGCUGGAGCUCCAAGAGGCAGGAGACAAGACCUGGAUAUGAUGUUCUGAAUCGGCAGGGCACUUUGUCUCUUAUCACCACCUGCUGGUGCUUCCAAGAAUUGCCAUGUCAACAGCGCCCCCUGCAGGCAAUGGCGGGGAAGCUCCUCAUGCCUAAAAGGACCUACCACUCCAUCCUCCCACCUGAACCAGGCCAUCCUGCUUCCUUAGGCACAGGUUGCUGAAGAAGAAGAACUCUUCUCACAGUGCUUUGCUUCUCUGCAAUAAUUCUUCUGUCUGAAGCAAUAGGAUGCUGGGAGUGAGGGGACCUGAUGCACAGGCCGUGAAGAAUCUCUCCAGAGGUCUGAUCUUCUCAACCUGAGCACCGUGUUCUUGGGUAGUUUUGAGUUAUGAGUCGAUUGUGUCUGUCAUUUGUUAUAUGAACAGAAAGCUCAGUAGCACAUCACCCAACAGAAGUGGUCCAGUGGGUGUUCCCACGCUGGCCCAAGCUUGGCUCACUCUGUCACCCUGAUGAAGCCUGGGAGGUGGGCCCCGCUCUGCUGUCGGGGUCUCUGGAGCAUUUACCGGGGUUCCUCUGUGCUCCAGCCCAACAUGCAAGUCCCCCAGUUGGCCCCUAUGACACCCUGGGUCCCAGCUUUACCUGUGGUGGGGAAGAGGGAGACUGAUGGAGCAGGGGAGCGGGCUGGGGGCGCUGGACAAGCCCAGCUAGCCAGUGUGGCCGGUCGUUUUCCUCUUCAAAAAGAGGCUCAGGGAAGGUAAGUGACUUGGCCCACAUCACCUAGGCAGACCAGAUUCGAUUUCUGAUAUCCUGUUACAUAGUGGGAGGGGUCUUCCUUUGGUCCCCACUCCCAGCCAGGGAUUGGCUGAAACCAAGGUGGACAUCAUCCCAGUGCUUCACCAGUACCAUAACAGCUAGGCACAGUGCCGUGGGCACCACAUAUUAAAUCCUCCCAGCAACUAUUUUUUUUUUUUUGGUGGGGGGGAUUGAACUCAGGAGCACUCAACCACUGAGCCACAUCCCCAUCCAUAUUUUGUAUUUUAUUUAGAAAGAGGGUCUCACUGAGUUGCUUAAUGCCAUUGCUGAAACUGGCUUUGAACUCGCAAUCCUCCUGCUUAGCUUCCAGAGCUGCUUGGAUUACAGGCAUGCACCACCAUGCCUGGCUCCCCCUAGCAACUUCUAAAGGGAGAGAUUAUUAUCUUCAUUUUGUAGAGGAGGGAAGGAAGGCAAGUUAGGAAAUUUGCCUGACCACUGGAUAUGGUGGUGUAUCCCUCUAACCUCAGCUACAUAGGAGGCUGAGGCAGGAAUAUCUCUUGAGUCUAGGAGUUCAAGGCCAGCCUGGGCAACAUUGACCUUGUCUCAAAAAGAGAAAAAAGGAGGGACUGGGGUUGUGGCUCAAUGGUAAA